rnacentral:rRNA from 1 species
UACAGAGGUCUCAAGCGUUGUUCGGAUUCAUUGGGCGUAAAGGGUGCGUAGGCGGCGCGGUAAGUCGGGUGUGAAAUCCCGGGGCUCAACCCCGGAACUGCAUUCGAUACUGCUGCGCUAGAGUACUGGAGAGGAGAUUGGAAUUUACGGUGUAGCAGUGAAAUGCGUAGAUAUCGUAAGGAAGACCAGUGGCGAAGGCGGAUCUCUGGACAGUUACUGACACUGAGGCACGAAGGCCAGGGGAGCAAACGGG